GGCGCCAUCGUCUAUCGGUUAGGACAGCCGCCUUUCACGUGGCAAAGACGGGUUCGAUUCCCGUUGGCGCUACCA
rnacentral:tRNA from 2 species